ACCCGUGUACGGCCGGGGACUCACUGCAGUUGAAGCACGCCAUCUCGCCACCAUGUAUGUUGUGUGUUCUUGUGCUGCAGGUCCUUGGGGUUGGGUGUUCUUGUCGCCACCAUGUUCAUGCAGGCACGAAUUGGACUGAGAAAUGCUAACAGAGGAGGAGAAGACCAUGCAAGUCCUUGGGGUUGGGUGCGGCAACUCGCGGCUCAAAGACAAUCUUUUGUGGUGGGGCGUCGCUGCCGCUGGCGGCACCUGCAUAGACCGUCUCGCUGGGAAUGAAGAGAUGCUCCCCUGAUUUAGAGCUGUAGAAAGGAGGUGGUUGCAGACACAAAGUGUGCGGCGCCGACGAUGACAACCUUUCUAUCGACGCAAGGGCAGCAGGAGCUCAUGACGCUGUUGAUGCCACCACCAUGCACGGGGUUGAUGCAAGGCGGGACAAUGCGAUCACUAAUGGGGAGAACAUAAAACUUCAAUUGAGGGCACUGUGAUUCUCUAGCUACAUGUAUCAU